rnacentral:rRNA from 1 species
AAUGAUUUUUAUUUAAUGGCCGCAGUAUUUUGACUGUGCAAAGGUAGCAUAAUCAUUAGUUUUUUAAUUGAAAGCUGGUAUGAAUGGUUUGAUGAAAAAUUAACUGUCUCAUUUUAAUUUUAUUAGAAUUUUAUUUUUAAGUUAAAAUGCUUAAAUGUUUUAUAAAGACGAGAAGACCCUAUAGAGUUUAAUAUUAUAAUAAUUUAUUUAUUUUAUGUUUUUAAUUUAGAUUUUUUGUUUUGGUAUUUUGCUGGGGCGGUUAGAAAAUUUAUUUAACUUUUCUUUUAUUUUUACAUUUACUUUUGAGUUUAUGAUCCUUUUUAUUGAUUUUAAGAUUAAAUUACCUUAGGGAUAACAGCGUAAUUUUUUUGGAAAGUUCAUAUUUAUAAAAAAGUUUGCGACCUCGAUGUUGGAUUAAAAUUUAUUUUUGGUGAAGAAGCUGAAAUAUUA